GCGCAAGUCCCGACGGCAGCAGCUGUGGCCGCCAAAGGAGUGGUCCAUGGCUUCGUCAGCCGAGGUUCCGGCGGUUACCCCCUCGGCAGCAGCAGCUUGCAUCUUCGGCCCCAUAGCUCAGGCUCCGCCGCUGCAGCAACUGCUGUGAACUCCGCACCGCCGUCAGCACGGACAUCUUCGGGUAUGCAGCUGUCGUCACCAUACGCCACCAAUCCCUCCACUCCCGCUUCCUCC
rnacentral:lncRNA from 1 species